AGACGUCUACAUUAGAUACCCCGGUAGUCCCAGCCGUAAACUAUGCGCGUUAGGUGUAUCGGUGACCACGAGUCACCGAGGUGCCGAAGGGAAACCGUGAAACGUGCCGCCUGGGAAGUACGGUCGCAAGGCUAGAAACUUAAAGGAAUUGGCGGGGAGCACCACAACGGGUGGAGCCUGCGGUUUAAUUGGACUCAACGCCGGGAAGCUCACCGGAUAAGACAGCGGAAUGAUUGCCGGGCUGAAGACUCUGCAUGACUAGCUG
rnacentral:rRNA from 1 species